rnacentral:rRNA from 1 species
UUAUCCGGAUUUAUUGGGUUUAAAGGGAGCGUAGGCGGACGUUUAAGUCAGUUGUGAAAGUUUGCGGCUCAACCGUAAAAUUGCAGUUGAUACUGGGUGUCUUGAGUACAGUAGAGGCAGGCGGAAUUCGUGGUGUAGCGGUGAAAUGCUUAGAUAUCACGAAGAACUCCGAUUGCGAAGGCAGCUUGCUGGACUGUAACUGACGCUAAUGCUCGAAAGUGUGGGUAUCAAACAGGAUUAGAUACCCUGGUAGUCCACACAGUAAACGAUGAAUACUCGCUGUUUGCGAUAUACAGUAAGCGGCCAAGCGAAAGCGUUAAGUAUUCCACCUGGGGAGUACGCCGGCAACGGUGAAACUCAAAGGAAUUGGCGGGGGCCCGCACAAGCGGAGGAACAUGUGGUUUAAUUC